UACAGAGGGUGCGAGCGUUAAUCGGAAUUACUGGGCGUAAAGCGUGCGUAGACGGUUAUUUAAGUCGGGUGUGAAAGCCCCGGGCUCAACCUGGGAAUUGCAUUCGAGACUGAAUAGCUAGGGUACGGUAGAGGGAAGUGGAAUUCCGGUGUAGCGGUGAAAUGCGUAGAUAUCGGAAGGAACAUCAGUGGCGAAGGCGGGUCGUCUGGGCCGAUACUGACGCUGAGGAGCGAAAGCGUGGGGAGCGAACAGG
rnacentral:rRNA from 1 species